GACCCCGAUUUGGACCAACUUGAAAACUGGGCCAAUAAUCAAAAAUCUAAGUACAUUUUUAGAUUCAGCAUAUCAAAGAACCUCAAGGAUUCAAUUUUUGUUAAAAUCAAACUAAGUUUAAUUUUGGACCCUUUGGACCUUAAUGUAGACCAAUUUGAAAACGGGACCAAAAAUUAAGAAUCUACAUACACAGUUAGAUUCGGCAUAUCAAAGAACCCCAAUUAUUCAAUUUUUGAU
rnacentral:lncRNA from 1 species